rnacentral:tRNA from 2 species
GGAGAGGUGACAGAGUGGCCGAUUGUGGCGGUCUCGAAAACCGUUGGGCGUGCAAGCGUCCCGUGGGUUCAAAUCCCACCCUCUCCGCCA